rnacentral:rRNA from 1 species
GACAGAGGGGGCAAGCGUUGCUCGGAAUCACUGGGCGUAAAGGGCGCGUAGGCGGGAUGGCAAGUCAGUCGUGAAAUCUCUCGGCUCAACCGAGAAACGUCGGCUGAUACUGCCGUUCUUGAGGGAUGCAGAGGAGACUGGAAUUCCCGGUGUAGCGGUGAAAUGUGUAGAGAUCGGGAGGAACACCGGUGGCGAAGGCGGCGUCCUGGACCAACACUGACACUGAGGAGCGAAAGCCAGGGGAGCAAACGGG